GACGAACGCUGGCGGCGUGCUUAACACAUGCAAGUCGAACGGAAAGGCCCUGCUUUUGUGGGGUGCUCGAGUGGCGAACGGGUGAGUAACACGUGAGUAACCUGCCCUUGACUUUGGGAUAACUUCAGGAAACUGGGGCUAAUACCGGAUAGGAGCUCCUGCUGCAUGGUGGGGGUUGGAAAGUUUCGGCGGUUGGGGAUGGACUCGCGGCUUAUCAGCUUGUGGGUGGGGUAGUGGCUUACCAAGGCUUUGACGGGUAGCCGGCCUGAGAGGGUGACCGGCCACAUUGGGACUGAGAUACGGCCCAGACUCCUACGGGAGGCAGCAGUGGUGAAUAUUGCACAAUGGGCGGAAGCCUGAUGCAGCAACGCCGCGUGCGGGAUGACGGCCUUCGGGUUGUAAACCGCUUUCGCCUGUGACGAAGCGUGAGUGACGGUAAUGGGUAAAGAAGCACCGGCUAACUACGUG
rnacentral:rRNA from 1 species